AAACAAAAAGUACAUGUUGAUUUUAUUAAAAAUAUUGAACUAGUAAUAGUAAAAAUUACAAAAGCAGUUUUAAAAGGAGAAUUGUUAUCUAUCACAUUUUUAUUCUAUAAUACAGCUAUAACAUUUAAAAAUUGUUUAAUAUGCUAUCUACUACAUAUUUUUUAGUAUAGUAUGCAGCUAUCUACAGAAAGAACGUUAUCUAUCAAUAUAUAUCAUACUACAAGUAAUAUUUUUUAGGAAUGUGAAACAAAUAAUGUAGUCAAUAUUUUAACAUAUUGUAUUUAACAAGUCAGUUUAAGAAUAUUUUUAAAAUUUAAGAUGAGUUUAACUGUGAGUUAUUUUUAUUGGCACAUCCUUGGGGAUAAAGAUAUGUGUGCACAAUUUUUAAAAGAACGAGAAUUACAUAUAACAAAGAUUACAGGGAACAGAGCUGAAACACAAACCAUCAAAAUGCUUUGGAAGCGCGUAAAAAAUAAGUAUAACACAAAAUCAUGUAGAGCAACUGACAUAUUAAAAUAUCAACAUCAAGAAGAUAGUCGAUUCUUGAUUUGACAAAAAAAAUAUAUUUUAAAAUUAUAAUCCACAUUUCAACAUAAGCAGUAAUUUGAACAUUGAUGUGGUUGAGCAAUUAACUUUUUAUUAUAUAGAUAAUACAUGGAACAGAUGCUAUAUUUAAAUACAUAUUAUCAUUGGUAAUUAAGCAGAAUAUUGAUGAUGCAGCUACUUGUGACCAGCUACCUGGAGCUGCACCAAUAUCUAUUACACACUGGCCUGGUUUCAAUAUAGAAAAUCUAUCAUCCAUUUGCAAUAGUUUAAAUGCACUUCUACAUCUGUAUUAAAAAUGUAAGACAAAUAUUUUAUUGUUUUUGUGAGGCAUUAUGUUUGCCUAUUUUGUUAAUGAUAAUUAAAUAUACUACACAGUUAAAAUAAAAUUAAUUAAGACUUAUCUACAA